rnacentral:piRNA from 1 species
UGGGAAGGUUCCAUGUGCUCUUGAUGUAGA